rnacentral:rRNA from 1 species
AACGAACGCUGGCGGCAUGCCUAACACAUGCAAGUCGAACGAUGCUUUCGGGCAUAGUGGCGCACGGGUGCGUAACGCGUGGGAAUCUGCCCUUGGGUUCGGAAUAACAGUGAGAAAUUGCUGCUAAUACCGGAUGAUGUCUUCGGACCAAAGAUUUAUCGCCCAUGGAUGAGCCCGCGUAGGAUUAGCUAGUUGGUGGGGUAAUGGCCUACCAAGGCGACGAUCCUUAGCUGGUCUGAGAGGAUGAUCAGCCACACUGGGACUGAGACACGGCCCAGACUCCUACGGGAGGCAGCAGUGGGGAAUAUUGGACAAUGGGCGCAAGCCUGAUCCAGCAAUGCCGCGUGAGUGAUGAAGGCCUUAGGGUUGUAAAGCUCUUUUACCCGGGAUGAUAAUGACAGUACCGGGAGAAUAAGCUCCGGCUAACUCCGUG